CAUUUGCAUAGUAAUUAGGCUAUGUAAGUUCGGAGUCCCGCGAUUUGUGUGGUUAUAUCGGGGUCUCCAAUUUACAUGCUCUAAUUUAUGCUAAUG
rnacentral:miRNA from 1 species